rnacentral:misc_RNA from 1 species
GAUGAAGAACGCAGCGAAAUGCGAUAAGUAAUGUGAAUUGCAGAAUUCAGUGAAUCAUCGAAUCUUUGAACGCACAUUGCGCCCGCCAGUAUUCUGGCGGGCAUGCCUGUCUGAGCGUCAUUUCAACCCUCAUGCCCCUAGGGCGUGGUGUUGGGGAUCGGCCAAAGCCCGCGAGGGACGGCCGGCCCCUAAAUCUAGUGGCGGACCCGUCGUGGCCUCCUCUGCGAAGUAGUGAUAUUCCGCAUCGGAGAGCGACGAGCCCCUGCCGUUAAACCCCCAACUUUCCAAGGUUGACCUCAGAUCAGGUAGGAAUACCCGCUGAACUUAAGCAUAUCAAUAAGCGAGGA